AGGGAAGGGUCAUCUCUCUUGUUUUGCAUAGUUCUCUCUGGUAAUCAGUCUAAUUGCUGAAGUUGGGAAAGGUAUGUGUGGUUUCAGUUUGGAAUUAAUUAGGCUGUCACAUACUUUUGGAACCACUUCCUUUUUUGCCCUGGGGUGCUUGCUAAGUCUAAUAACAGUUAAGUAUAAUAGAAGGGUUGGGUGAGAGUCUCUAAAACUGUACUUAUAGGGGCCUUUCAUCUUGAAGACACAACCAUGUGCAUGCCUGAACUAAGUAAGGUUUUGUCUCCCUCAGGACACUCGUCUUGAAAAAGUGCUUGGUAAGACAAGUUCAGUGGACAAAAAUAAUCCAAUAGAUAAAGGUGUUGUCACAAAACCUGAUGGCCUGAUUUCCAUCUAUGGGAUCCACAUUGGAAGGAGGGGAGAGAACUAACUCUGCAAAUUGUCCUCUGACCUCCUCACAUAUACAGUGGUACAUGCACACCAAUAUCCAUGCUCACACACUUGCAUGUGCACACACAAUAUUUAAAAAAAAAACUUCUAAAAAUAAACUUUUUAAAUUAAAUAAAGAUAAAAAGACUUGAGGAAGAAGGUCAUUCCUUAAUAUCCCCUCUCUGUUGUUCCACCCCCCGCAUACACAUUUCUACAUUUUUAGCUGAGUCCAUGAGUCCAAGAAGGCAUGUAUUGGAACAGUGAAGAACAGGGCAGUCAGUGUGUCCUGGGAGGUGAGUCAGCAGAAGCAUUGCCAGGUAAUGUGCUUCUGAAGAGAGAUGGACAGCAGGCACAGAUGCUGCACUGUGUCUUGAGAGCACUUGGGAGACACUAAUGCAGCUAGUAGGCUGGGUGGGAGGAGGUGACAUUGAUGUCCACAUUUAGAAUGUGUAACUAAGAAGGUGACAGGCAGGGGAGGCAGAGGUCCACUGUUGGUCCCUGUAUCUUUGUUACAGCUGUUUGGGAAAAUUUUUCUGAAGGAUACAGCACUAGGAAGGAGAAAGGCAAUGUCUCCUGGGAGCUGGAGAGAUGGCUCAGCAGUUAAGAGCACUGACUACUCUUCCAGAGGUCUUGAGUUCGAUUCCCAGCAACCACAUGGUGGCUCACAACCACCUGUAACAGGGAUCUGACACUCUCUUCUGGGGUGUCUGAAGACAGCUACAGUGUACUCAUAUAACUAAAAUAAAUGUUUUCUUUUCUUUUUUUUUUAAAGUUUGUUUAAAAAAAAAAAGAAAAAGAAAUGUUUGCCUGUCUUCAUAGAGCUAACGAGGGAGUUCUAUAUUGUCUGCAACUUAUUUCUUUCCUGACUCUUCCCUGUUGAAUUAACUAAGAACUGAAUGUUUCCUGGGCACUAGAGAUCAUUACUAGGCACUGCAUUAUGAGUUUUGAAUCAUAUUUUAAUUUUUUGCAAGUGGUAAACAAAUCGCUAUUAGCUGACUUAGGCAAAAGGAGAGUGUAUUUGUUGUUGUAAUAAAUAGUUCUGGGUCUGGCUCUCACCAUCAGGUCCUCUUUAUCUACACUGACUUCCUAGCCUUUCCUCCCAGUUUUAAGAUGGCCACUAAGUUGGUCCCAGGGUCAAAUCCAUAAAAUCAGGAGUGAUAGCGUUUGCCCAAGUGUUUUCAUCUCUACAGUCCCAUUUCUUUUGUGUGGACUGGUUUAGGUUUUGUACCACUGCCCCCACCUCCUUCCCAACAUCUUGUAGCUGCGGGGCUUGAUUGCUGAUUGGUUUAGGUUUGCCACAUGGGAUCAAUUGCUAGGGCGAGGGAGAAGGCGCAGGGAGGAAAUGAACCUCCAAAUGUAAAGGAGGUCUUUUUUAGGUCAUGGAGAUUGAAUGUGUGGAAAGGCAAACAACAAAUGUCCAGUAUAAUCAGGAUUUAUAGUCUAAUUUCUUAUUUGAUCUUUACCAUGACUCUGGAAUUAAGUAUAUUUUAUUGAAGCCUUUCUUAAUCACAGGAAGAAACUCCCAGCCUCCUAAGGUUAAGCUUGGAGGACCUAGAAUUAAAUCUCAAUUUAAUUGGGACCUGAGUACUUGUGGGAAGGGAGCCUAGUGUUUAUGAAAAGUGAAGUUAAAUCCUGCCUGACACUAUAGUAUACAAAAGCAAUACAGUGUUCUGAUUCAGAACACAGACUGUAGACACAGAAUUCCUGGGUUCAGAUGUUUUUGAAAGGGAUCCAGUAUAUCUUAUGUACUGGCCACCUAUGCCUUACC
rnacentral:lncRNA from 1 species